rnacentral:rRNA from 1 species
GACGAACGCUGGCGGCGUGCUUAACACAUGCAAGUCGAACGGAAAGGCCCUGCUUUUGUGGGUUGCUCGAGUGGCGAACGGGUGAGUAACACGUGAGUAACCUGCCCUUGACUUUGGGAUAACUUCAGGAAACUGAGGCUAAUACCGGAUAGGAGCUCCUGCUGCAUGGUGGGGGUUGGAAAGUUUCGGCGGUUGGGGAUGGACUCGCGGCUUAUCAGCUUGUUGGUGGGGUAGUGGCUUACCAAGGCUUUGACGGGUAGCCGGCCUGAGAGGGUGACCGGCCACAUUGGGACUGAGAUACGGCCCAGACUCCUACGGGAGGCAGCGGUGGGGAAUAUUGCACAAUGGGCGGAAGCCUGAUGCAGCAACGCCGCGUGCGGGAUGACGGCCUUCGGGUUGUAAACCGCUUUCGCCUGUGACGAAGCGUGAGUGACGGUAAUGGGUAAAGAAGCACCGGCUAACUACGUG